rnacentral:lncRNA from 1 species
CCAAAAUUGAUUAGUUGGAGCUUGCAACCAGUUAAAAAUUUUUGAUUUUAUGUGAGAUUCAUUGAAUUAACAUAUGUUCAUGUUUAACUCACGUAAUAGUAGCCAGUAGACAAAUAAUACCUCUUACAAAAAAGAGCUGGACAACACUCUAAUUGGAGAACACAAUUUCGUAGCAUUGUCACGUUUCUUUGUAUCUUGUUACAUAUGUUUUUCAUGUUGUGAGAAAACAAGUAAUUGCAGCAGAAAUCUUUUUUCAUGUGGUCUUGCAUAUUGUGGUUUCGUUUUUCCUAAUUGCAUAUGGUUUUCGAAUGAAACACGAUUCCAAGAACAUAGUGCUAUUUUUAUUAUUAUUAUUUUUUUUAAUCAAGGUGUCCGCCUUCGACGACUAUUUCUUGAAUCUGUAAUCCGGUCCCUCUUCACACAGACUAGUUAAACCGCGGGAUGUGUCUUCAAUUGACCAGGGUCCAAGCAUCUCUCCAACUGGACUGUCAAAGUGCCUAGUGAGCCAACCCAUAUUGCACCUUGCCUUCCAAGAUACUCUUGCCUUCCAGGAUAAAUCCUGCCUUCCAGUAUGUGCCUUGCCUUCCAAGAGCCCCAAGAAUCGAACCCACAACCUCUGAUCUGCCAUCUUUGAGAGAAACCGUCCUUUGUCAGUGGAACAUAGUGCUAUUACUUCUACUUGUAUAUGUGUAUAGACUUGGAUACAUUUUUAUGUUUUUUUUUUUUUUUUUUUUUAA